rnacentral:lncRNA from 1 species
GGGCCGCGUUCGCACCAAAACCGUGAAGAAGGCGGCCCGGGUCAUCAUAGAAAAGUACUACACGCGCCUGGGCAACGACUUCCACACGAACAAGCGCGUGUGCGAGGAGAUCGCCAUUAUCCCCAGCAAAAAGCUCCGCAACAAGAUAGCAGGGUGAGUCGGGCCUUCCUCGGCCUCCGGGGCUCCGCGAUCUGUUUGUGUGCUCUGCCGCCCUCCGACUCGGGAAGAGACGGUGCCUUGGUGGUUUCGUUAGCCUGAGACUCCCUGGUGUCCCGGAGAAGGGCUAGAGCUCUGCGUGUGCAGGAUUUCUGUUGUGAACUUAGGCCUGUGUCAUGACUGGCCGCGGUGACCCUGGGUCGAAGGUAGCCACCGUCAGACCUCUUGCUUUGAAGCUACGUUGCUUUUAGUUGUCAACUUUUUUCUUUCUUUUUUUUCUUUUUUUUUUGAGACGGAAUCUUGCCCUGGCGCCCAGGCUAGAGUGCAGUGGCGCCAUCUCGGCUCACUGCAACCUCCGUCUCCCGGGUUCAAGCGAUUGUCAUGCCUCAGCCUUCCCAGUAGCUGGGAUUAGAGGCACGUGCUACCACACUCGGCUAAUUUUUGUAUUUUUAGUAGACAACAGGGUUUCACAAUGUUGACCAGGCUGGUCUCGAACACCUGACCUCAAGCGAUCCGCCCGCCUCGGCCUCCCAAAUUGCUGGGAUUACAGGCGUGAGCCACCUCGCCCGGCUGGAUGUCAACUUCUAAUGCUUACUUCACAGUUGCAGUUACUGUUCGAGAGAUUUAUAGGCAUAUGGCCUGGAAGAAUAGUGCCAAAGUCAACGUAUUAAUUGCCAAGUUAUGUGAAUUUGAAAUUGGAAGAAAAUGAAGGCUGUGAAGGGUCGUGAAACUGCGGGGCGGGGCGGGGCGAGUUGGGGGUGGGGCGCUUGAUCAUCAUGAAGGAGAGUUUGAAUAGAGAGUGAGAAACCAAGGGGAAGGAAUGCUCAGGCCAGUGGAGGUUCUAUGUGUAGGAGGUCCCAGGAUAGUGAGUCCUCUUCCUUCUCACUGUGGAAAAGAACUAAAGCGGGUAUUUAUAUAUGCACAUGUGCUCAGUACCAGGUGGGAGUUGAUUUGUCUUCUCACUGUUCUCUUUGGCUGUGUGUGCUUUGUAGUUAUGUCACGCAUCUGAUGAAGCGAAUUCAGAGAGGCCCAGUAAGAGGUAUCUCCAUCAAGCUGCAGGAGGAGGAGAGAGAAAGGAGAGACAAUUAUGUUCCUGAGGUAAACUUUCUGGAUAUUUGGGCUUCUGGCUAAUCCUCAAAUGAUAAAGCUAUGGGUUCUUGGCUUCCAAAGGGACCUCAGCUGAAUCUGAGACCUUUAAUCCAUACAUUCCAUAACCAGCUGUGGGUGCCCAUAGGCCCCCUACCAGUUUCUUAGCCUCCAUUCUGCUCUUCUGGAACCAGUUAAGUCUAUUCCAUAUUUCAUGAGAGCCCUUAAUGUUGAUUUGAUGACUGCUGUCGUGGCUCGAUUGUUUGCCCCUAAUAUAGUAUUCUUUGGUGUAAACACAGACUUCAAGUGUUCUGAAUACUGAAUGAGGGCAUGGGAAGGUAAGGCCAGAAGAACAGGUCAUCGGGGUCUGUAAUACUGUAAGAGACUGCUCACCUUGUGAGAGGAAUGCUAUCCUUGUGCAGCUCCUCUUCCCCAUAUUUAAGAACCUGGGGAGAGGAGGAGGAGAGGUGAGUGAUAAUCUCAUUGAUUGGUAUUUUGACCCUACCUCGUUUCCUUGUAGGUCUCAGCCUUGGAUCAGGAGAUUAUUGAAGUAGAUCCUGACACUAAGGAAAUGCUGAAGCUUUUGGACUUCGGCAGUCUGUCCAACCUUCAGGUCACUCAGCCUACAGUUGGGAUGAAUUUCAAAACGCCUCGGGGACCUGUUUGAAUUUUUUCUGUAG